rnacentral:rRNA from 1 species
UACGUAGGGGGCUAGCGUUGUCCGGAAUCAUUGGGCGUAAAGCGCGUGUAGGCGGCCCGGUAAGCCCGCUGUGAAAGUCGGGGGCUCAACCCUCGGAUGCCGGUGGAUACUGUCGGGCUCGAGUACGGAAGAGGCGAGUGGAAUUCCUGGUGUAGCGGUGAAAUGCGCAGAUAUCAGGAGGAACACCGAUUGCGAAGGCAGCUCGCUGGGACGUUACUGACGCUGAGACGCGAAAGCGUGGGGAGCAAACAGG